rnacentral:rRNA from 1 species
UACGUAGGGGGCUAGCGUUGUCCGGAAUCAUUGGGCGUAAAGCGCGUGUAGGCGGUCCGGUAAGUCCGCUGUGAAAGUCCAGGGCUCAACCUGGGAUGCGGGUGGAUACUGUCGGGCUCGAGUCCGGAAGAGGCGAGUGGAAUUCCUGGUGUAGCGGUGAAAUGCGCAGAUAUCAGGAGGAACACCGAUGGCGAAGGCAGGUCUCUGGGCCACUACUGACGUGAGAGACGAAAGCUAGGGGAGCGAAUGGG